AGAGUUUGAUCCUGGCUCAGAAUGAACGCUGGUGGUAUGCUUUAUACAUGCAAGUCGAACGAGAAAACCCUUUCGGGGGUAAGUAAAGUGGCAGACGGGUGAGUAAUGUAUGGGAAUCUGCCCAGUAGUAAGGAAUAAGCCUUGGAAACGAGGUCUAAUACCGUAUAAUACCGAUUUAUCGGGAAAGGCUCAGUUCUUCGGAAUUGCGUCGCUAUUGGAGGAGCCCAUAUCGGAUUAGUUUGUUGGCGGGGUAAUGGCCCACCAAGACUGGGAUCCGUAGCUGGUCUGAGAGGAUGAUCAGCCACACUGGAACUUAGACACGGUCCAGACUCCUACGGGAGGCAGCAGUAGGGAAUAUUAGACAAUGGGCGAAAGCCUGAUCUAGCAAUACCACGUGAAUGAUGAAGGCCUUCGGGUUGUAAAGUUCUUUUAACAGGGAAGAUAAUGACGGUACCUGUAGAAAAAGCACCGGCUAACUCCGUGCCAGCAGCCGCGGUAAGACGGAGGGUGCUAGCGUUAUUCGGAAUUAUUGGGCGUAAAGCGUGCGUAGGCGGUUUAGUAAGUUGGUUAUGAAAUCCCGGGGCUCAACCUCGGAACUGUAAUCAAAACUGCUAGGCUAGAGGAUGGUAUGCGGUGACGGAAUUUCUAGUGUAGGGGUGAAAUCCGUAGAUAUUAGAAAGAACACCGGAGGCGAAGGCGGUUACCUAGACCAUAUCUGACGCUAAGGCACGAAGGCGUGGGGAGCAAACAGGAUUAGAUACCCUGGUAGUCCACGCAGUAAACGAUGAGCGCUAGGUGUCUGACUCUUAGAGUUGGGUGCCAAAGCUAACGCGUUAAGCGCUCCGCCUGGGAAGUACGAUCGCAAGAUUAAAACUCAAAGGAAUUGACGGGGACCCGCACAAGCGGUGGAGCAUGUGGUUUAAUUCGAUGCUACGCGAAAAACCUUACCAACCCUUGACAUCCCGAUUCUGGGGGACAGAGAUGACCCCCUUCAGUUCGGCUGGAUCGGUGACAGGUGUUGCAUGGCUGUCGUCAGCUCGUGCCGUGAGGUGUUAGGUUAAGUCCUUUAACGAGCGCAACCCCUACUCUUAUUUACUAACAGGUUAUGCUGAGGACUAUAAGAGGACUGCCAGUGAUAAACUGGAGGAAGGUGGGGACGAGGUCAAGUCAUCAUGGCCCUUAUGGGUUGGGCUACACACAUGCUACAAUGGAAAUUACAACGGGAUGCGAAAGAGCGAUCUGGAGCCAAACCUUUAAAAAUUUUCUCAGUUCGGAUUGCAGGCUGCAACUCGCCUGCAUGAAGUUGGAAUCGCUAGUAAUCGUGGAUCAGCACGCCACGGUGAAUACGUUCUCGGGUCUUGUACACACUGCCCGUCGAGCCAUGGGAGUUGUCUCUACCCGAAUUUGGUGAGCUAACCUGCAAAGGAGGCAGCUAAACACGGUAGGGGGAGCGACUGGGGUUAAGUCGUAACAAGGUA
rnacentral:rRNA from 1 species